AAGCAUACCACUGAACGUCAUGCAUCAAAGGAGCUUUUCGGUAUGUUCCUCCUUCUCUCGUUACCUCCACGGCUCCACCCACAAACCCUAGCCCCCCAAAUCCCAUAGUCGAUGCACUUCUCCCUCCCUCGUCAGACAGCCGCCACAUCCCUCCCUCGUCUCUCCCUCGUCAACACAGCCACGCCUCCAACCUCCCUUCCUCGUUACCACGGCAAACCAGCUCCCAUGGCGGCGACAGGGGCGAGGCGGGCGCGGGGGCUGCGGGCGGAAGCAACAGGGGUUGAUGGAGGGUCGGGGAGGGGCGGUUGUAGGCGGGUUCGGCGGUUGGGGGCGAGCACCGGACAGGCAGAGGGAGCGUCUUGGUCGAGGGACAGCGAGGCUCGUCGGCUGGGCGACUUCGAGCGCUGGACAGGCAGAGGGAACGACUUGGUCGAGGGACGGCGAGGCUCGCUGGCUUGGCGACGCGAGUGCCAGACAGUCAGAGGGGCUUGGCCGAGGGAUCAAGGAUUCGUGCAACUCUUCCAAUAGGAGGAUAGAACACAUGCACAAAACUUCGAAAGCCACAAAACCUGGGCGGAAAUCAUGGACUACACGUUGGUCAAUAUUGUGCAGGCAACCAGUUGCCACAAUCGAACACAAUAAGCAUCACGGGAGCCUCCUCGUCGUCGGCGAUUCUCCGGCGCCUUUGUCUGGUCAUCUCUGGCUCCUGCCGUGCUCUCUGGUGCUCCUUUGCCUCAUGGAUGGCGCUCCCAUGCCUCGGACGCACGCCCCCUCUCCCCCGAGCUCCAGAUGGGAAGCAGCGGUCCCCCCUCUCCCCCGAGCUCGGGAUCCAUUGCAGCAACGGCAAGGCAGUGAAAGUUUGCAGUCGAUGCCAUCUAAGUAGGAUUCUGGGUUGAUUUCAGAGGAGAUCAAUUAUUGUGAGAAGAUGAAGAAGCUGAGAGUUGAUACGGACUAUUUGUGAAAGCAAGUUUAGGAGCUCAAAGCCAACAACAAGUCAACAACCAAGGCUUUGAAAAAGACAUCGACCCGCGACACCGGUAAGGCCACAACAUCCAUUACUGCUAUGACUGUUGACUGAGGUGGGAAAGCAUGGAGCCUUCCUUCUACUGGUAUAGUUUGGUUUUCUUAUGCCCAUAGUUUUUUUAGUCAUGUUCGUGUGGAGGAUGGAGUCAACGCUAGGCACAUGGUUGAUGGAGAAGGACAAGAGGAUGAAGCUCUGACUUGCUUUUCCUAUGAUUUGUUGAGCCAAUAUAUCGAGGCUUUCCUUUGCUGUUGAAAUCUCUAUAGAAUUUCAUAGAAGAUGAUUGGUCGGAGUAUGCAUAUCUUUGGACCCUUCCUCCUUGCGGGCCUCUCCACUAAAGACUGGGAGGCAAGAACCAGCGCCACCGCCAUGUCUGUUGGUGAUGCUCACGCUGGAAACCAGAGGUAGCAUCUUGGUCUUGUCCAUGCGAGCACCACAUCUCUGACAAUGCUGCCGCGACCAGAGGGCGGCGAGCUGAUCCCCCAUGGCUCCUCGCCGACGUAUGACAACACCCACCUCCAUGCUAAUCGAGCUUUUUGACCUGUCCAGCAUGAUCUGAGACGCCGUCUCCACUUCAGUUCAUUGGAGAUUGUAAUAUUGAUCUUAGUUCAGUUCAGUCUAUUAUGUGACCUCACUUUGUUAUCUAUGAUUUCCUUCAUUUCUUUGUUUUGGCACAUGUCCAUUAAUUUGUAUAGUGGAGCGGAUGACCAAAUUAUUGGAACCUUCCCAUGCUUUCCAGGGAAGUUGUUUGUUAGCUCUGCCCCAAACGUUGACAAGCCAGAUUUGGGCUUAUUUCUUCAGCUUUGCUGCACUGCAGCCUGAUAGUAUUUUUUUGUUGCUUGAUGCUUCAUUUUCCUACUUCUUCCUCUUAAUGUGACCUUUUGAUGCAGGGUGAUGUUUCUUUAUAUGCCCCUCGAGGGACGAGGCCGGCAAGCCGGUGAAUGCUUAUCACAACAAGCACAUGCUGUCAGGUUUGUUGGGUAUGCUUCCAGGAACAUGGGCUUAUGUUAGUGCUGGUGCAUUUGGGAGAUCUAUAAUUGCUGCAAAGAAUCUUGUAGCUGUGGCGGCGGUGACACUUUCAGUUCCUGCUUUCAGGGCACCUACUACAAAUAUACCUUCUGGAUCAGUGCAGGGACGAGCGAAAACAAUUGUAUCCUAGUUGGGAAUGCACUUUCUCCCAAUUCAUCCAUGGACGGAGGACUAGCUAGCACGGCUGCAUGAAGGUUUUUGGGACAGGUGCACGAACAAAAGGCAUCAUGGUCUGCUUAUUUCUGCAAAUAGCAGUGCUUAAAUUUAGUAGAACUGCACAAGAAGUUUAGAUGGUCAAUACACUACAUGGUUCAGUUCAGCAUUCCAACUAAGAACACAAUUAUAAUUGGUUAUUUUGAAAUGAAAGAACCUAAUCUUGGAUGGUGGCAACAAGAAAAACCAGAGUGAACUCCAGGAAAUUAAAGCCUGCCUAAGGAGGCCCUUUGCUCAGAGAAGCAUUGCUUGAUUUUUUCUGAUUUGUAAACCUUUUCACAACUUUGUCUUUUGCUGUGAACUAGUAAAUAUUUUUGUUAUGUUCUAUGAAUCAUUGAGAUGUAUAAAAUUUCUUAACUUAUGCUUU